CAGCACACCCUUGGGAGGCUCAAUGCCAAGAUUAACAAACCUCUCUGGAUGAAGUAGAGGGGUUUCAACUACUUCUGGUAGUUUCUCAAUCUGUUCCUUAUAGCCACCAACAUCACUGUAUGUGACAUCAGGUUUUUCCUCCACCUGCAUCAUGGUAACUGUUGGGUCAAUCUUAGGAGGUAAUGGAAUAUGAAUUUGGUAUUUAUUUCUGUCCACACCAACUCUCAUCCCUUCUUCCAUGUCAGUAGGUGCCACCUGAUCACUAAGGUCCACCACAAACUUGGCAAACUGCUUUACGUUGAUAAUGUAUUUUGGGUCCUCCAAAUCAGCAUUGAUUAUCUUUGGUCCACCUGGUACAGGCAAGACACUUUGUGCUCGGGCAGUUGCUAAUAGGACUGAUGCCUACUUCAUUCGAGUUAUUGGAUCUGAGCUUGUACAGAAAUAUGUUGGUGAGGGGGCUCGAAUGGUUUGUGAACUCUUUGAAAUGGCCAGAACAAAAAAAAACCUGCCUUAUCUUCUUUGAUGAAAUUGAUGCUGUUGGAGGGGCUCGGUUUGAUGAUAGUGCUGGAGGUGACAAUGAAGUGCAGAGAACAAUGUUGGAACAGAUCAAUCAGCUGGAUGGUUUUGAUUCUCGAGGCAAUAUUAAAGUGCUGAUGGCUACUAACAAACCUGAUACUUUGGAUCCAGCACUGAUGAGGCCAGGGAGAUUGGAAAGAAAGAUUGAAUUUAGCUUACCUGAUCUAGAGGGUAGGACUCACAUCUUUAAGAUUCAUGCCCGUUCAAUGAGUGUUGAAAGAGAUAACAGAUUUGAAUUGUUAGCACGGCUGUGUCCAAAUAGUACUGGUGCUGAAAUUAGAAGUGUCUGUACAGAAGCUGGCAUGUUUGCUAUCAGAGCAUGGCGAAAAAUUGCUACUGAAAAGGAUUUCUUGGAAGCUGUAAAUAAGGUCAUUAAGUCUUAUGCCAAAUUCAGUGCCACUCCCUGCUACAUGACAUACAACUGAGUCCUGAAGGAUUUCAAGUGAAAACACUUAUAAGUGAAGUCCUAACCUUAUAUAGACUUGUUAAUAACCACUUUGCAAAAAAAAAAAAAAUGACUUCAAAAUU